AUGGUACACGACUACAUUGUCACUGUACAUGGUUAAAUUAAUAUGGUAUAUAACUAAAUUAUCAUUGUAUACAGUUAAGUUAAUAUAGUAUAUACUUAAUUUGCCACUAUAUACAAUUAAAUAAAUAUGAUACAUGGUUGAAGUAUAUAUAUCAUGUCAUGUAGUUGAUGUAUCAUGCCAUGCAGUUGAAGUAUCAUUGAAACCUACUUAUAUUUUGAAAAUUAAAAUCA
rnacentral:lncRNA from 1 species